rnacentral:ncRNA from 1 species
AAAUAUGAAAUCGGGAGCUUGUGGAAUCAGGCUGAGAGUACGGCUAACUGCCGAAGACCGAAUGAACCUGUUGGAUAAUGCCAGCGCAGGGAUGUGUUUCAGGGAUACAUAUG